rnacentral:rRNA from 1 species
CAUAACCCCCAAAAGCUAGCCCCACCACAAAACACAACAAACAACAUUAAUAACCCCGAAGCCACUAUAAAUGAACAAUCAAACCAUUUUACCCCCCUAGUAUGGGAGACAGAAAAGGGAAUAAAGGAGCUAUAGAGAAAGUACCGCAAGGGAAAGCUGAAAGAGAAAUGAAAUAACCCAGUAAAGAGUAGAAAAGUAGGCACAUCCCCCCGUACCUUUUGCAUCAUGAUCUAGUUAGUAGUUUUCAAGCAAAGUGCAUUUUAGUUUGAAGCCCCGAAACUUGGCGAGCUACUCCAAGACAGCUCAUUAUGGAGCCAACCCGUCUCUGUUGCRAAAGAGUGGGAAGAUCUUUGAGUAGAGGUGACAGACCUACCGAGCCCAGUUAUAGCUGGUUACCUAUGAAAUGAAUAGAAGUUCAGCCUCUUCAAUUUUUUACUCCCGCCAGGCCAAGCCAAACUAAAGACGACAAGAAAUUDAGAGAGUUAUUCAAAGGGGGGACAGCCCCUUUGAAAAGAGACACAACUUUAUUAGAAGGCUAAAGAUCAAAAGACCCUAAAGCAAUUUACCUUGGUGGGCCCAAAAGCAGCCACCCAUGAAGAAAGCGUUAAAGCUCAGGUAUUAUGCUUCUUAUAAUUAUGACAACCACAUCUUAAACCCCUUCCAAAUAAUAGGUCAUUCCAUGCCUUCAUGGAAAAGAUACUGCUAGAAUGAGUAAUAAGAGGGACAAAACCCUCUCCUGGCAUCUGUGUAAAUCAGAACGAACCCGCACUGAGAAUUAACGCCCCCAACCAAAGAGGGAACUGAAGGAUACCACAAUAAACAAGUAAAACCCCCAAGACAUAUAACAGCGUUACCCCCACACAGGUGUGCCCAAGGAAAGACUAAAAGGAAGAGAAGGAACUCGGCAAACACUGGCCUCGCCUGUUUACCAAAAACAUCGCCUCUUGCACCACAAAGUAUAAGAGGUCCCGCCUGCCCUGUGACUUGUUAGUUUAACGGCCGCGGUAUUCUGACCGUGCGAAGGUAGCGUAAUCACUUGUCUUUUAAAUGGAGACCUGUAUGAAUGGCAUAACGAGGGCUAAGCUGUCUCCUUUUCCGAGUCAAUGAAAUUAAUCUCCCCGUGCAGAAGCGAGGAUAACACCAUAAGACGAGAAGACCCUAUGGAGCUUUAGACAACAGGUAGACCGCAUUGAAACAACUGGAACAACAGAACUAAUCAAGCGGGCUCUACCCUCAUGUCUUUGGUUGGGGCGACCACGGAGGAACAAAUAGCCUCCGCGUGGAAUGGGGACCAACCCCUCAAAGCCAGAGCAACCGCUCUAACAAGCAGAACUUCUGACCAACAAGACCCGGCAAAGCCGAUCAACGGACCGAGUUACCCUAGGGAUAACAGCGCAAUCCCCUUUUAGAGCCCAUAUCGACAAGGGGGUUUACGACCUCGAUGUUGGAUCAGGACAUCCUAAUGGUGCAGCCGCUAUUAAGGGUUC